CGCCUGUCUCGUGGUGAUUUGGCCGGCCGGCUUGCAGCCACGUAAAAUAAAUUGCUAAAGGGCCGAGGCAAGUUAUUC
rnacentral:ncRNA from 2 species